AUUUAAUAAAAAAGAGAGUAUGAUGUCGGCUCAGAUUAAACGUUAUCUAAGGACUUGAUACAUGCGAAUCGAACGAUUAUAAUAUAAAAGACUGAAAAAGUAGAGAGAGAUUAUAAUAGUGAUAAAAAGGUGAGUAAUAUAUUGAAAUGAGAACUAUUAAUAAUUUUGAGAGAAAAUUAUAAAGAGUAUAUUUUAUAUACAGAAUAAAUAAUAUUAAUGAGAGUUAAUAUAAGUUAAUAGUCAAGUCAAUAUUGGAAUAGGUAGUAGGUGACAUAAAGGGAAUACCUAGCCAAGGAUCCAUAGUUAAUAAUGAGAGUUAUAAUAACCACAUUGAUUUUGAAAAAGAUCAAUAUAAAAGAUGUAAUAUAUUUAAGGAUAUAUUAUAUAUAAUACAGCAGUAGGGAAUAUUAGACAAUGAUUGAAAGAUUGAUCUAGUUACUUAGAGAGAUGAAGAUUAUAAAACUAAAGAAGGAGAAUAAGAAUGAAGAAUAUAAAAUCAAGGUAUAUAUUAGAAAGAAAGAAUGAUAAUAAUAUAUAAAGAAGUCUUAACAAAAAUUAGUGCCAGCAGUUGCGGCUAAACUAAGGAGGCGAACGUUAAUCAUUAAAGGCUUAAAGGAUCCGUAGAACGAUAUAAAUAAAUAUAAUAGAGUUAAAUAAGAAAAAGAAUGAAUAAUUAUUAUGAGAGAUGAAAUGUAAUGAUAAUAAUUAGACGGCCAAGAGUGAAAAUAGAAUUUGAUAUUUAACUGACGUUGAGGGAUGAAGGCAUGAGUAGUAAACCGGAUUAGAUACCCGAGUAAUUCAUGCAGUAAACGAUGAAUACUAAGAAAGAAAGCGAAGGCAAAGUAUUCCGCCAGGUAAGUAUAUUCGCAAGAAUGAAAUCCAAGACAAUAGACGGUUACAGGUGUAGGCAGUGGAUUGUGUUUUUUAAUUCGAUAAUCCCCGAGAAAUCUUACCAUUAUUUGAAUAAUAAAAAGAAGAAAUUGUUUUUAUAACAAAUGUUACAUCGUUGUUUAAAGUCUGUGCUUUAAGGUUAUGAUUAACUUCAUAAACAGACAAAAUUCCAUAUAUAUAAAUGAGAAUAUAUAUAUAUAUUUUUUUAUUUAAGAUAAAAGAUAUUAUAAUGGAACUACAACAAAUCAUGAUGACUUUAAUAUAAUGGGCUAAAGACGCAAUACAAAAUAUUUAAUAAAAUUAAAUUAAAUAAUAAUAAAUUAAAUUAAUAAUAAAAUAAAUAUACCAAAUAUAUCUAUAUAGAUAUAUAUAAUGUGAAUUAAUAUCUGAAAUUCGAUAUUAUGAAAAAGGAAUUGCUAGUAAUCAUAAUUCAUUAAGUUAUGGUGAAAUUCAUCCCUGUUUCGUACUAAUUACUCAUCAUUCGCUGGAAAGGGCUAUAAUUAAAAAAUAUUAUAUAUUUAUAUUUAUAUUUCAUAAAUAUUAUAAUAUAUUUAUAUUAUAUUCUCAAUUAUUAACUAACCAGUGAGAAGUUGAAAUACAGUUAUCGUUGAGGAAUCAGCGGUGGGUUGUCUAAAUAACUUUUUAUGUCAUAU
rnacentral:ncRNA from 1 species